rnacentral:lncRNA from 1 species
AUGAGCCUCUGGAUUGGGACAUACUGGAGAAGAUGCUGGCGGGCGAGCAGUUUAAGGGCUGGGACUGGUUUCUGACUAAGUUACACCGAAUGCUGCAGAACGCAAUGUCCUGCUUCACCGAAUGCCCAUCGAUCCGCAGAGCGACACAGAGGACCUUCGAAAAGGUCGUGGAUAUUAUACCUGAUUAUGAAGGACGCAUGGCUCACGUAAAGGCGACGGCUCACGAAGCGGUUCGUUUGAAAUUGGACGCCAUGACACCAUCUCAAAAAGAGGAACUCCUUAAAUAACUUGAAUUAUCCAAGAAAGCAAACAGAAAUCAUUCCUAUUGGUUUGUAACAGAAAUUUGAAUAAAUAACACAAGGCGAGA